UUAGAUGAUUAUAUUGAUGCAGAAGAC
rnacentral:piRNA from 1 species